UCAUUCUCCUCCUUAUAUGCUUCUGUCACGUUUCUUCAUUCUUAAGACCUACAUCUCAUUCUCUAUUAAACAACAGCAGCCGCCAUUCCUCAUUAGCAAGAUCUGAAACUUCAAAUCAUCAUUCUCCUCCAUUUGGUUCAAGCUACGCUUCUAAUCCGAAAAUUCUUCGACGAUUCACAUCGAUUCGACGUUCUCUUCGAUCCCUACGUUUCGGAAUCAUAUACGACCCGUCGACUGUUCGUACUUCAGAGGCGAACCAGAGUUAGAUUGCUUGUCAGGAUCACGUGGAUUUAGCAAGCAGUUUGUGAUUUGAGCAUUUGUCGAUCUCCGUUUCUUUAUUCCCGGAGGUUCUUUAUUUAUUUUCAGAUUAAAAGAGUCGAACUGUUUUAAACUCUUAGACCGCAGUAGUAGUAUUGGAUUAUUUAUGUUUUAGUCUUAUACUUAAUGUUUUAGACUAUUAUUUGUUGAUAUAGUUCAACCAUGAUUUAUCGCUUUAGCAUGAUUACAGUGUUUAUGGAAUUAUAUAUAUUGCCAUGCUGUUAGA